UUUCAAUUAGAUAGCGUACAACUAACGCUGCCUUCACACGGCAGGGGUCACUGGUUCGAACCCAGUAUCGCCCACCA
rnacentral:tRNA from 1 species